UCAGGAUGAACGCUAGCUACAGGCUUAACACAUGCAAGUCGAGGGGCAGCAUGAAGUCAGCUUGCUGACUUGAUGGCGACCGGCGCACGGGUGAGUAACGCGUAUCCAACCUCCCCUUAGUAGGGCAUAGCCCGUAGAAAUGCGGAUUAAUACCCUAUGUUAUUCGUCGAUGACAUCUGAAGUGAAUCAAAGGUUUACCGCUAAGGGAUGGGGAUGCGUCUGAUUAGGCAGCAGACGGGGUAACGGCCCACCUGGCCGACGAUCAGUAGGGGUUCUGAGAGGAAGGUCCCCCACAUUGGAACUGAGACACGGUCCAAACUCCUACGGGAGGCAGCAGUGAGGAAUAUUGGUCAAUGGUCGAGAGACUGAACCAGCCAAGUAGCGUGCCAGGACGACGGCCCUAUGGGUUGUAAACUGCUUUUAUGCGGGGAUAAAGUGCGGCACGUGUGCCGUUUUGUAGGUACCGCAUGAAUAAGGACCGGCUAAUUCCGUGCCAGCAGCAGC
rnacentral:rRNA from 1 species